CGGAGCGCGUUACUUUUAGAGCUUUGUUCUCUUGUCUCCAGUUCUCAAAGUAGAUGGAGAACCAUCUUUGAAACCCAGGAAACACAUAUUCCCAAGCCCGGCGGGCCUUUAAAAUCUGGAAGUGCUUCUAUCAAUCCAACUCGGCAGUUUGAUAGAGAUGGGAUGGAAUCGGAGGGGCAGCCUUAGGGGCCAGACUAAUAACUUCAUGUGAGAUGCAAUGAUCAUUUUCAAUGCCGGUGGCGAGGAAGGUGUCGGGGCUGGUUUGGUUUUUGUGGAGACCAAAUCGAACAACCUUCAUUCUGAAAGAGAAUCUUCUACUGCCUCAUCCCUUUUUGGAAGCCAUGAUUAAAAAAUAAGGAUCCUAA